rnacentral:lncRNA from 1 species
UUACAAAAUAUUAGUAAUUGAUUUUAAGUCAGUAAUUGAAUAACACCAUGUAAUGAUCAACCUAGACUAUAUAUAAGCAGAUAAAAAGUGAUUAUGUUUUAAUAGUAUUGAUGAUAAAUUUUAUUGAAAAAUGCGAAACCGAAAAAUAUCCUUACGAUUCUAUAGGGAAUUGGUGUUCAAAAAAAGAAUGGGGGAUUUGCCAAAUAUAACUCAAAACAUGAUUUUAAAUGCAAACAUAUACACAAAAGCCUUGUGAAAUUACAGCCAGUCCGUUGUGAUUAAA